CGUUUGACGAACAACAAGGAUGAACGAUGCAUCAUGCGUAUUAUGCGUGAAACGGAACGCACCCUAGUAGUGCAGCGAAAAUGAACAAACAUUAUAUAUAUAUAUAUAAUUUUUUGGAACACGCAAGAUGGAAAACAUAACCUGGUAGUUCAGAAACACGUAUUAAUGUAAUGCUUUUAUAAUUAAUAAGCUUUUUAGAAAUUGUUAUACGUGUCUUAUUUUUGUAUAGGCAUUAAACAGCAAUUUACAAAUAAUACAAAGAUUUCGUUCGAUACAACCAACGGCGAGUACAAAAGAAAUUAAAAUACGUAAUAUAUCAAUUAAAUUAAUAGAUAUUAUAAAUGAUUAUAAGAGGCAAGGAAUUAAAACUGUUGUAGUAAAAAACAAAGAAAAUCUGUAAAAAAAGGAAGUAUUGAGGGGAACAAUCAAAAUUAUCCAGAAGAAAUAAUGGAUAAGAAAGAUUCUUUAAAUUAUAAUUAUAUACUGAAAAGUACUGUCAGUAUUGGUACUGAAAAAACAUUGAUACUGAAGUAGCAACAAUUUUUCAGUAGCGAAAAUACAGAAUACAAUAAUAAAACUAACACAUCAAGCAGCGAUAUAAGUAACAUUAUAGAUUCAAGCUUAUAUAAUCUCUUUGACAAAAUCUGAAACUGAAAUAUGCAAAUUUCUUAGUACUAAUCAAUCAACAAGUUGCAACAUAAAUAAUAAAUCAAGGGACAUAAACUUAAAUAAAAAUUAUAUACAUAAUAUUAUUGAAAAUAAAAUCUUACCAAUACUAAAUAUAAACAAAAAAGCUGUUAUUAAGAAAAACUACAUUAGAGAAAAAGGAUGCAUAUAGAAACACAAUUGAAGAUAAUUCUUCUGGUCUUAAUGCAUAAUAAUUAAAGAUCAAAUUAAAAUGAUUUUUAAAAUAAUGAAAUGAGGAAUUAUUUGAUUCCAAAUGGAUGUUGUAUGUCCUCCGAUUGCGAAGAUAAUAUAAUAAAUGAUAUUUCUUUAAAUAAAACUAGCAAAAUGAAUAUACUAUCAAAGCAGACAUUUGAAAUUGAAACAGAAUAUUGUAAUAUUCAGAAAGGUGGUAUACUGCCAAAAAGUCAACGAAACAAUUGUAUAUUCUCAACAAGAUGAAGAUGAAGAUUUUACACAGUUUACUGUCACACAACAUGAAAAUUUAAUGACUAAAAACAUGCAAAACAAAAACAUUUUACAUUCCGUUGCCAAAAACAUACAUGAUAAGAAAAUUACAACACAUUUGAAUAAUGAUUGCAAUAAUAAUUUAAAAAAGAGAAGUUACUGAAUAUGUUAAAUAUAAUAAACCAAGAUGGUAGCAAUGACGAUAGUUUAUGACCAAAUGUAACACAAGAUAUUACUAGUGAAUAUAUACCAAAUAAAACUAAAAGUUUAGAAACUAAUAAAACAGGAGUAACAACAAACUCAGAAAAUAGUAUUAAUAAAGUAAUGUAUCUGAAAGAAAUAAAUAUGAUCAACUAAAUUUAAUAUUCCUGGAAAUAGUGGCUGUGAUAAAUCUGAAUUAAUUACUAAAUUAUCACGUGGUCUUCAAGGCAACAAAAAAAUUUUUGUUUAUUUUCUCACACUCUGCAAAAUAAAAUAGCGCGUCAUUUGGAAACCAAACAUUGUAAUGAAGAUCUAGUUGAAGAUUUUAUGCAUUUACCAGGAGGAUGUGCUGAACGUUUGCGUAAAAUGGCAAGUAAAAUUAAAGAAGUAAAUUUUAUUUUUAUAUGCAAUCAUGAUCGAAUAAUAACAGUUAGAAAACUUACAAAAAAAGAAAAACAAUAAAGUAUAAAUUUUGAUAACUGCGUCUAUUGUAAUGGAUUUUAUGCGCGAAAUAAUUUAAGACAUUAUUUCCAGCAGUGUAAUAAAAUUAAAAAAUCACAUUUUUUGUGAAUCUUACAAAAAACUCGGCAAAGUAUUGUCAAAUAUUACCCAGAGGCAAGUAGAAGAAUAAGAGUAAAAAUAUUGCAUAUCUUGCAAGAAGAUGAAGUAAUCAAAACUAUUAGAUACAAUCGUACAAUCAUUCUGUAUAGAAAUAGUAUUUGUAAAACGCAAAUUCAUCAACAUCCAAUACUAUGCAAGAUUAUUUGUUUUUUAGGUCGUUUAGUAUUAGCUUUUAGAAAUUGAUACUCUGAUAUUAACACUUUAGCAGCUGCAUAUACUCCAGAAUUUUACAGAACUUUAAUUAAGGCAAUUAAUGAUAUUGAAGAAUUAGAUUAAAACUAUAACAAAUAUAUAUAUACACAUUCGACUAAUGCUUCUAUUCUUGUUUAAAAAAGAUUAGUAGAAUCUUAGAUGUUACAUAUAUGAUAGAUAAAAAUUUAAUAAAGCGGAAAGAUGUUGAUGAUUUUACGAAAAAUAUAUGAUGUAGAAGUUUUAGCGGAAUUAUAAAUAAAGUAGCAACAAAAACUCAUAUAAAAGUUAAACGACAAAAAAAGAUGAUAUUACCUCAACACGUAACAUUAAAUUUCUUAGUGAUUAUUUAAAAAAAAUGGAAGAAUAUAGUAAAAUAUUAACAAAAGAAUUUUCAUAUGCAAUGUGGAAACCAUUAGCAGAGAUAACACUCAUCGCCAUUCAAGUUUUUAAUCAUUGUCGAGCUGGAGGAACAGAAAGAAUUUUAAUUAAAGACUUUAAAAACCAUGAGUGUGAUUAUGGGACAGGUUCUAUAAAAAUUGUAUACAAGAUUCAUUUGAUAAGACCUAUGACUAUAUUAGAUUUACUAUUCGCGGUAAAUUACAUAGAACUCUUCCAGUACUGUUAGAUGCACAUAUAUUAAAAAGUAUUCAACUUUUGCUAUAAUUUCAAAAAAAUGCUAAUGUGCCAUCAGAUAAUCUUUUUUGUUUGGAUUACCCAAUAAUUAAAAUGAAAAUAAACAUGCUUAUAAACAAAUGCGAGGUUUUGCAAGCCUAUGUGGAGUAAAAAAUAGCUCCGCACUUUGUCUAACUACUUUGCGCAAACAUGUGCAACAGAAUGAGUGGAUAUAAACUUGUUGGAUAAUCAAAUGUCGAGAGUAGCAAACUUCAUGGAUCAUCAUAAUAUCAUACCUACAAAACAUAUCUACAAAAAAAUCUAUAGCAACCUGUUGCUAAAGUCGACAUACUAGAAAUGUCAAAAAUUUUAGAAAAAAAUCAAGGCGUGGAUAUAACAGUUUCUAAUGAUGGAGUUGACAUAACUAUCAACAGUAAAGACGAUAAUUUUUUCUUCAAUCAAGGUUAAUAAUUAUAUUAAGUUUAAUUCAUUUUAAUUAAGGUAAUUUUAUUAUGUAGGAUCAAACUUUGCGGGGGUCCAAGGGAAACUUAUUUAAAUUGUACAUUUACAUUUGUUCUUUUUUUUGUACAGUACGGACCUACAAAAAUGUAAUAACACUAGCUACAGAAAAAAUGUUCGAUAUACGUAAAAUUCUCUAAAUCUUUCACCAUUUCACUCUUAUAUGCAACCUUAAGAGGAUUCUUCCCAAAA